AUUGAACGCUGGCGGCAGGCUUAACACAUGCAAGUCGAGCGAGCGGCGGACGGGUGAGUAAUGUAUGGGAAACUGCCUGAUGGAGGGGGUUAACUACUGGAAACGGUAGCUAAUACCGCAUACCAUCAGAUGUGCCCAGAUGGGAUUGACUAGUAGGUGGGGUAAUGGCUCACGUUGGAGAAGAUCCCUAGCUGGUCGGAGAGGGUGACCAGCCACACUGGAACUGAACCACGGUCCAAACUCCUACGGGAGGCGGCGGUGGGGAAGUUUGGAAAAGGGGGGCAAGCCUGAUGCAGCAAUGCCGCGUGUGUGAGGAAGGUCUUCGGGUGGUAAGGCACUUUCAUCGGGGAGGCGUUACCCGCACAAGAAGCGCCGGCUAACUCCGUGCCAGCAGCCGCGGUAAUAC
rnacentral:rRNA from 1 species